rnacentral:rRNA from 1 species
UACAUGUGGGGCAAGCGUUGUUCGGAAUUACUGGGCAUAAAGGGUGUGUAGGCGGUUUUCUAAGUUUGGUGUGAAAUCUCCCGGCUCAACCGGGAGGGUGCGCCGAAAACUGGGAGACUAGAGUGCGGGAUGGGAGAGUAGAAUUCCUGGUGUAGCGGUGAAAUGCGUAGAUAUCAGGAGGAAUACCGGUGGUGUAGACGGCUCUCUGGACCGCCACUGACGCUGAGACACGAAAGCGUGGGUAGCAAACAGG